AGUGGAAUUGCUGGAUCAUAUGGUAACUCUAAAUUUAACUUUCUGAGGAACUGCUAAACUGUUUUCCAAAGUGGCUGCACCGUUUUAUAAUUCCACCAGUAAG
rnacentral:pre_miRNA from 1 species